UAAAAAUAUAGAAGAAUUUUUUUUAAAUGGAGAGCCAGCGUACCUACACUAUCAUUUUCUGUUUUUCAGUUUUUGUAAGAGAUAAAACAACUAAUAGUUUUUUUUCGUGAUAAAAUCUUACAGAUGAUGAUUUUUUGGGAAACGGAUGUCAUGUAGAACUAAUUUAUGGCUUUACUGGAAAACCAACUCUUGUUAUUGGUGGAUAUUCUUAUUGUCGCAACAGAAUAAGUGGAUCAACAACAUAUUGGGUUUGCUCCAAAAAUCCUAAGCCCAAUUGUUGCAAGGUACGAAUUAUAACAUCCAAUGGAAUAAAUGAUGCGAGGACAAGUAAAAAAUGCAGGCACAAUCAUCCACCAGAUCAACGAUUAUCUACCAAAGUAAGAGUUCGGAAUGACUUACUUAUGAAGUAGUACACACAAAAUAUAAAUAUAUAAAAAAAUAAGUAUUUUUGUAAAAAUAUCUAAAAAAAAAAAAUGGCCUCAUAAGUCAACAUAUACCUAUCUUAAAUGAGAAAAAACUUUAACCCUCUUGGGGAGCCAUCUAGCGUCAAAAUAAAAAUCUGAAAAAAUUGGAGUAUUUUUUUUUUUAUUUUUUUGAAACAGUUUUUCCUUGACUUUCGAAAAAGCCUUAACGAACGUUCUAAUGUACAUGAUGUACCUUCAAUACAUUUUGAGGUGUUGAUACAUUACAUUUUAUUCUUGAGACGGGCCCGCCGACUGAUAAAUUCUUGGCAAACUCUCAAAGGCUGAGAAAUGUUGUUCAAAGCAAUUCAUUUUAAUUUACUAUUUAAUAUAUUCGAACUUAACACGACAAAUGGCUAUUUGCACAGCUUUGCAGAACAUGGAAUGCAACUUGGCAAAACUUUGCAGCGCUAAUGCAAUAGAAAGUUUUCACUUUAAAAUUAGCACCCUUUUCCAAAUUCAAUUCAUACCUUUGCAAACCAAAUUCAUCCUUUUGCAAUUCAGAGUUAUUCUGGUAAACUAAUAUUCUGGAUAGAAAAAGGAUGAACUUUACGUAAAAGAUGUACUUUAAAAAAAAAAAGUCACUCCUCGUCUGAGAUUUUUGCUAUCGAAUUUUCUAACCAGUUCCGAAAGUUUUUUUUUUUUCUCUUUUUACAGAUAUCGAUUUUUAGGCGAAGAGAUUUCAUUAAAAUAUGAUUCGUGCAUUUCAAAGAUACUUGAAUCUAAUUAUUGAUGGAUUUUCUUUCUUUUGUAACAAAAGUAAAGAAUGUGAAGCUUUUUGGAGGUGGACCAGGUAUAUCUACUAAAUAAAGAAUAGAAUCCAUAUUGUCUGAUAAAGCCAGAACUAUAAUUGACGGAUGCGUCGGAUGAAACGGAGGGUAACAGCGCUCGCAACCGCACUCGACGGAUGAAAACUUAUCGAAAAUACAAAGAAAACAACAACAAUUGAAAAUAGCUUCCGACUCCAUCCGCCAAUUAUGGGUCUGGCUUAAAUCCAGAAAUAUGUAUCUACAAACACCGAGUAGUAAAUAAAAUAAAAUAAAAUAUUUUUAUUAAAGUGAACCUUAAUUUGUUUAAUUUAAACUAUUGGAAAUUUAAAAAAAGUAACUGCUGAUCUCGAUUUAUGGGCAAAGCGAUUUGAUGUGAAACUUAUUCGAGGCAAUAAAGGAAAACCAAAAUUAAUUCUAGGCGAAUUUUCAUAUUUUCGCAAUAACACUAAAGGAUGCAAAACAUAUUGGCUAUGUUCAAAGAAUCGUUACAAUCGUUGUAAAGCGAGAUUAAUAACAUCGAGUCAGACGGGUGAACUAAUCAUCAAAAAUCAGAGCCACAAUCAUCUACCAGAUUCAGAGUUCGAGAAGACAUCUCAUCCCGAAAGGAAUGAAAGAAGUUUUAUAAAAGUUGAAAAGUAUUAAAAUAAAGAA